rnacentral:rRNA from 1 species
UACGGAGGGUGCAAGCGUUAAUCGGAAUCACUGGGCGUAAAGCGCGCGUAGGCGGCUUGGUAAGUCAGGGGUGAAAUCCCACGGCCCAACUGUGGAACUGCAUUUGAUACUGCCAGGCUUGAGUACCGGAGAGGGAAGCGGAAUUCCAGGUGUAGGAGUGAAAUGCGUAGAUAUCAGGAGGAACACCGGUGGCGAAGGCGGCCUACUGGACGGUAACUGACGCUGAGGUGCGAAAGCGUGGGGAGCAAACAGG